UAAAAAUCUUGUUCAUUAAUGAAAAAUCCUUAAGAAAAAUUGUUUUUGCUGAGAAUUUGUUUCGUCUCGCAUCAUAACGGUCACAAAAAAAGUAUCAACAAUAGCUUCUAUAAAUAACCAUUCCCGCUAUCAUUAUAUCAUCUCUUAACUCUCUCUAAUUCAACACUCUGCGAUUAUUUCUGUGAAUUUGUGUUGUUUGCGGUUUCAAGAAUGUUGAUACCACUUUCAAUUGUAGAUGAUGUUGCUAUCGUUGAUUUAGGUCAACAACAUCAUCGCCACAACAUGUUACCUGUGUAUGUUCUCUUUGAUUCUCGUACCAUGUCUCACAGCCACCACCCACCACCACCAACAACAACAACAACAACACCGCCUUGGACUGUGAUAGACCAAGCUCUUCUCUUUGAUUCUCGUAUCGCCAACAUGUCUCAGAACCACAACAAUGUUCCAACAAGAUUAAUGUCUCACAACCACAACAGUGUUUCAUCAAGAUUCACUUCACCAACAGUGUCUGUGGUAGAUGAAACUGUUCUGUAUGAUUUUCAUAUCGGCAAUGUUCCAAGAAGAUCAAGGAAUCAUCCAUCAUGGUCAAUUAAUCAUCAAACGGGCCACCAUCACCACCACCACCACAAUGGUACUCGAGCUUCUCCAAAUGUGAUCGGUGUUCAAAAUACUCGAGCUUCUCCGGUGGUGAUCGGUGUUCAAAAUACUAGAGCUUCCCCGGUGGUGAUCGGUGUUCAAAAUACUAGAGCUUCUGGUGCUCAAGAUACUUGUCAACAUGUCACAACAUCAACAACAGAUGCUGAAUCCAUCUGUUGCAUUUGUCUUGUUCACUUGUCUAAUGGUUCUUCCAUGCCAAUUCGGCUGCGCUGCUCUCAUGAUUUUCAUACCGACUGCAUUCAAAAAUGGAUCAACAUUAAGAAAACUUGUCCACUUUGUCGCGCCAAUGUUUAAUUUUCAUAUAUUCAUGUGUUCUUGAUUUAUAAAAUUGUUUCCUUUCUCUUGUUAUUUUCCAUGUUUAGGUUUGAUGAUUUUCCAUGUUUAGGUUUGAUUCGCUGGGAUUACCACAAAUUCCUUCAAGCCCUCUGAGGUAAGUUUUUGUUGGGUUGCUAUUACCUAUGAUACAUCAUGUGUCUUGGAGUUUUAUUUGUUAGUAUAGGUUCUACAUAAAACAUAUAUGUGCUCUGUCUUUGUGUGCAAACCUGUUUUUUUGUGUCAAUAUGUGUUACACCACAUAUGUUUAAAGUUAUUUUGUUUGUGAAUAUUUAGAACUAUGCUUCUGUCAUUGCAGUCAUCCAGUUUUAUAGUUGUGAACAGAUGCUGGAUAAUGGUAGAUGUUUAUGUUGUCCUUCACUAGUCCAUUAGGCAAGGCCUAUAAAACAUUCAUUUUAAUGAUAAAAUAACAGUAAAGGUUUUGUUUCGUUUUGUCUCUAUCAAUUAUUAUAUGCUUGUUUGGUUGGAUGGAUUAUGGAAAGUAACAACUAUUUUGUUACAAUGGAGAAGGUGUGGGAUCUUAAUAUGGAUUAUAGCUUAUGGGUCACGUAAGCAUGCUUUUAUGAUUCUUACUAGUUAUGAUUCUAUGGUAAAUAUGAGAAGCAAUGAAGAUAAGAAAAUGUUAAAGAUUACUUUGUCUGGAUUUGUACUCAAGGUGACAAGUAUGUCAGGUUGUAUGGCAUUCAGAUGGAACUCAAAGGUAAAAUAUAUAUUUCAUUUUCUUUGAUGGAUUCACCUUUUUCCCUUGGUUGAAUGGAUGUUGGUUACUCUCUCUAUGCACAUAUUCAGAGAUGCAACUUGUUUUUGAAAUAAAAAGUUAAAAGUUUGUCAUUUCCCAACUAAUGGUUUUUUGUUUUCUGGUAAUGUUGCAAUGUUCAAGAUUAUUUAGGUAACUACUGAACAACUUACAAUAUUGUUUGUUGCUUUCACUUCCUUUUUCUUUGUCAAUAUGUGUUGCACCAAGAAUUGGAUUAAAGUGAUUUUGUCUGAGUCCCGGUGUUUGCAUAUUGUGGUUGUUUAGUCCCAUGAAGUUUAGGUGCAUGUUGUUUAGCUUGUUAUCUAUCAUUUAUUAGAAAUAUACUUGGACUUAUAGAGUAUUUUCUGUAGCUGCAACUUGUGGUAGAGUUGCGGCGGUUUUGAAGCAUCCUCCACCACUUAAUUUUACAACAGUAGCUGUGAGCCUAAUAAAUAAUCAGGAAACUUCUGCCAAUUAAUUUUACCACAGUAACUCAAUUAUUUAUUCGGUUAGGCUAAUCUUAGUAAAUUUGAGAAAACAAAAUUAAAUUCAAGCAAGAUUGCAUGUUUAACAAGGUUUGAACUUUUUGUCAAAUUUUGAUCAACCAAGGAUGCAACACAGGUGAUUUCAUUGCAUUUAUCUUUACUUUUUAUUUUUUAUGAUUUCAUUUCAUAUUUGUUUUAUGUACCAGCUAUACUUCUUCACCCUUUUCAAGGGUUCAGGAGGGUUCUAAAUCUUUAAAAUUUUCUAUUGUUUGUUGUGCAUGAAUAGAAGAGUCAUUGAGUCUGAGUUCUGAAAAUGGAGAAGAAUUAGUGAUGGUGUAACAAUUGUGAUCUAUCUCAAGUCAUAUAUGUACUCUUUACUUCUUGUUUUCUUGUUUUUUUUUCUUAUAGUUUUAACAUCUCUUAAUUGUAUGUUUCUUGGUUGUACAGUCAUUGUAAUGGUUAUAAUGCUAAUUGCUAAUGCCUUGAAGCUUUUGUGACCUUUUCUCAUCAGCAACAGAUUUUGAAACACUCUCCAUGUCCUUGCAUCUUCUUGCAACAUACUCAAAUUCUACUUUCGUUUGGUGCAUAUCCUUUGAAGUUUCUACCGUCGGCUUUUUAUCCUGAGAAACUUGUUGAGCCUUACAUGCCAAACAGCCGUGUUCAAAGAUUAUGGGACGUAGUGUAGGAUCUAAUUAAUUUAAAGAAAAUGGACCUCAGCUGUUGUGAGCACUUGAUAGAGCUUCCUGAUUUCUCCAUGGUAUCACAUCUCCAAUACAUUCACCUCUCUAGACGUGUAAGGCUGCGUCAUGUUCAUACAUCUACUUUAGCGCUCCAAAAUCUUGUCAAUUUAAUCCAGGUUUGGUGCAAAAAGCUCAAGAGUCUUAUAAGCAAUUCCUCUUUAAACUCUGCGAAUUCUCGAGCUCUAUGGCUGCUCAAGUCUCAAGGAAUUUUCUGUGAUAUCUACAAAAAUGACAUAGUUGGAUUUAAGAUGAUGUAUUGCUAUCAAUGAAUUGCGGCAGCCAUAAGUUAAGUACCUUGGAAGUCUUAUGAACUUGGAGCUGAGCAGCUAUGAUGGGCACCUUAGAUAUCUUCCAAAUGAGUUCUCAUGCUUGAAAUCUCUUGGCCAUCUGGUACUUUCUGAUUGCAUGCUACUUGACAUAUCGAAUGGCCGGCGUUCUUUAGGAUACUUUUGUCUGGACAACAGUUGUGAUCUGAUUGAUCUACCUCGCAACAACAACAACAUUCUGUUAAGAUUAUUAUAUUAUUUAUCACUCAGCGGAAUCAAUGUGAAGAACGUUCCUAUAAGCAUUAAGCAUCUUUCACAGCCAGAUUCUCUUGGCUUGUGCAAAUGCAUGAGCAUUUAGUCUCUACCAGAACUCCCACCAUCUAUUCAAGUGUUGGACGUCACCAACUGCACAUCCUUGGAGACCGUCGUCAUCUCUCGUGUUAUCAAUGAACUACUAGAAGAGCACAAGGUAUUCAUUUCCUUCAAAAAUUGUGUGAAAUUGAAUGAAUACUCAGAGGAAAGACUUCAAUGUCAGGUACUCUUCACUGUUUAAAGAGGGGACAUGUUUUUCUUCAGAGUCAAAAUCAACAAAAAUUUUGUUGUCUAAUUCAUUGGUUUCAAGUAGAACCAUCAAGUAGAACAUUCCUUGUUUAGAGUAGAACCAUCUAUGCUUAGAAAAGCACACAUCAGCCAUAUGAUGAUUCCUUCCACAGAAAGUUCAAUUUGUUAUUGUAGGCACCUUUCCCUUUUCCACCAGUAAGAUUAACAAGGGCUUGAGAUUCAUCAGCAAUAUUCAAAUCAUUUAAGCUCUCGUGUAUUUUUACCAAAAUUGCAUUACAAAGAAACUCAAGGUUAGGAGAGCAUGUCUUGUAUGUCAAAUGAGUAUUUAGUUAAAUUCUAGCUAGGUUCUGAUUUUGUAGUUUAUAUAACAGACUUUGUAUUUGUGAUAGCUUUUUGAAACACACAUAUUAUGGUUCUUUCUUCUUUGCUGUUUUUUUGACACACAUAUUAUACCAUUAAUUUUAAUUGGUAUAUGAUUCAUUUAAAUGCACCUGUGAAUUGUGAAUAAUAAAUCUAACUCUCUCUCCAAAGAGUUGUUGAACCAAGCCUUAUAUGGAAGCCUGCUUUUCUUUGCAAGAAGCUACAAGUAUAUACUCGUUCGAAAAGUUAUGUUGUUCAAAUUAACUGUUACAUGUCACAAUGUUUCAUGCACACAAAAUGCCCAAAACAAAUAUUAUAAAACAAACUUGAAACAUUAUUUCCACCAUAAUUCUCUCUGAUGGCUAUUGGUCAUAAUUCACUACUCUUACACACUUUCAUGUAGUGGCUAGUGGUCAUAAAACUAAUCGAUUAAAAGGAUUAUUGUCGUCAAAAGUUUCUGAACCACAUCCUAUACACUAUCCAGAUCACAAAAACAUGUUUUAACACACAACCCACUUUAACUAAGUUUCGCAAAAUAUUGUGGAACUUCCUACACAUAGUGAAAUAAUUUAUACUCUCAAAAUAGAUUAAAUGUUAAAGACAUCCAUGCACAACUUUAAAAUUAAAUCAAAUGAUGUUCAACUUGGCUUUAUCUUCAUUUUCCCAUGACUGUAACUCGUACCGUACAACUAUGCAUACAUUAAUAAUGAUUUACAACUUAAAAUGGUUUAUACUAUGACAAUAUGUGUUUUGUCUAUCUUAUCCUUAUUAUUUGUGUCAAUAUGUGUUAUGCCGCAGAUGUUUAAAGUGAUUUUGUUUGUGAAUAUUUAGAACUAUGCUUCUGUCCUUGCAAUCAUCCAGUUUUAUAGUUGUGAACAGAUGCUGAAUAACGGUAGAUGUUUAUGUUUAUGAGUUGUUAUGGUUCAGUUCUGUUUUCUCCUCAAAAGAAACUAAGAGUAUAUACUCCUUUACAAUCUUGUAAAGAAGAUGUUAAACUUGUUUUUGAUCUUCUUUUUGAGGGAGAAGAAAAGAAAUAUUGUGAUAGUUGGUGACACAGUUACAUUAACUGAAGAAGGACUAGUUAGUGAGUUGAUGGAAAAAUUUGAGAGAGGUGAAGUUUCUGAUAAGUUGAAAAAAGCUGAAUUUUGUGAAGUUCCAUAACCUUGCUUCAGUUUUUAAUUUGAAUUAUAUGAAAAGAUUAAAGAUUCCUCCAUCUGGAUUGGUACUCAAGCAGACGAGGUCUGUUAGGAUGUAUAUCAUUCAGAUCCUAACAGUAGUUAUUGUAAAACAAGCCUUAUAAGUUAUUUUAUUCUCUUAAUCUUGCAAUUAAUGUUUCUAUUUUUAAUUUGGUUUUGGUUGGAUGCAGUCAUGCAAUUUGGAGACCAGCAUCCUGAUGGUACAUUAUAUAUCUUAUAUGAGUUAUUCCUUUGUCCAAAUUUAGUAAUUACAUUGUCUGUGUUUCAGCUACCAGUAUUGGCUAGUGUUGCAGGAGUCUUAGGGGCUCAACAUAUGAUUCAUUCCCUUUGAUGGUUUCACCUUUUUCCCCUGCUUGAAUGAAUGUUGGUUACUCUCUCUAUGCAGAUAUUCAAAGAUGAAUUUUGUAUAUGUAGGAUGCAACUUGUUUGAAAUAGGAAGAUAAAGGUUUGUCAUUUGUCCCAACUAAUGUUUCUUUGUUUUCUAGUAAUGUUGCACUGUUCAAGAUUAUUUAGGUAACUACUCAACAACAACAUCUCGUUUCUCUCCUAAUACUCAUCAUAAUACUUGUUUGUUGCUAUCACAUUAGUAAGGUGUUGGUGCAAAUAUUUUGUAUCCACAAAAUUACAUUUCUUGGCAUUUGUGUAGAAUUCUGAACAUAGUCAAAACUGUAACCUUCAUUUCUUGCAAUCAUGUCUUCUUGAAUCGCGCACCACUUACAUGAUUUGAGAGGGGCAAGUGGAAAUCGAGGUCCCUUUCUCAAUACAAAGAAGCUCGAACAUAACAAUUCUAACGCCACCCUAAAAAAAGGCGACAACAUCCACACGAACUCCUCAGCUAGCCAGCCUGCUACUCAACAUUUGUUCACCAUCGAUGAGAAUCAAGGCUAACGAAAUGCAUCACAGUCCAUGCAUAAAAUGAAGGGUUUCAGUUUCAACUAUAGUCGCACAUUUCGCAAUUCUCUUCGGUACGUGGUGCGACUUUGGGUAUGCUGUACGGCACUUCAAAUAAUUAGGUUUUGAAAAUUUGCAAAGGUUUCCCACUCGCCAUUAAAGUGCCUGCAACAUCAGUCAGAAAUAGGCCUUAUGGCUUGUGUGGCAAAAGAUAGAGCUCAUGUCUUAAUAGCAAGGAAAAGUGCAAUUGAUGCAGACAAUUACAACCACAAUAGCCAUUUCACUGUCCUUCAUGAUUCUGUAAGAGAUUGGAAUUUACCAAAGAACCAAUUGAGCAUAGAAAAAGAAUGAUCAUUGACAUCAAUGAAGAUUUCCCAAUAUGACGAUAGAGGUUGGAGAAAAAAUGAAGCCUCUCUAGAGAGAAAAGCACAUCAACAAUCAUAUAUAUCCACACGAUUUGACGAAGCAGAGACCAUCGUAGAUAUCUGCAUUGGGUCUGGAAGACAAAGGUAGAGAAAUCUAAAGUGAGUAACCAUUGUAGAUAUCUGCAUUGGGUCCGGAAGACAAAGGUAGACAAAGAUAGAGGGUAUUGGGUUGGGAUUUUAGUAGUGUAAGUAGCUUUUGACUAUUUGUGUACUAAAAAAUGUGUCAUUUCUCAGUUUUUAUUUGUAUUCAAGUUAACAUAUCAUGGUUGUGCAAUUUUUCAAUCAAAGUUUCUUAGGAACUUAUUAUC